UCGUUUUCGCCCGCUUCCGCUCUCUGGCCGGGCUUGGGCUGCGUGGAGAAUACUUUUUGCGAUGCCUACUGGAGACUUUGAUUCGAAGCCCAGUUGGGCCGACCAGGUGGAGGAGGAGGGGGAGGACGACAAAUGUGUCACCAGCGAGCUCCUCAAGGGGAUCCCUCUGGCCACAGGUGACACCAGCCCAGAGCCAGAGCUACUGCCGGGAGGUGAGUGAGGACUGCCACUCGGUGUCCGGGCUGCCUCUCCCUCCAGCCCUGCCGCUCCUGAUCCCCAUGACCCAGGGCUCAGUCUUUCUCUGUUUUUCCCCUUCUGCCAGCUCCACUGCCGCCUCCCAAGGAGGUCAUCAACGGAAACAUAAAGACAGUGACAGAGUACAAGAUAGAUGAGGAUGGCAAGAAGUUCAAGAUUGUCCGCACCUUCAGGAUUGAGACCCGGAAGGCUUCAAAGGCUGUCGCAAGGAGGAAGGUGAGGCUCUUCUUCCCCAGGGCUAACCUAGAGGAAUUGGAAAACCGUGCUCCCGGACUUUGUGUUUAGAGAUGGGGCUUAACUCUUUUUUUUUUUUUUUUUUGAGACAGAGUGUUGCUCUGUCCCCCAGGCUGAAGUGCAGUGGCACGAUCUCGACUCACUGCAACCUCCGCCUCCUGGGUUCAAGUGAUUCUCCUGCCUCAGCCUCCCGAGUAGCUGGGGUUACAGGCAUGUGCCACCACGCCAGCUAAUUUUUGUACUUUUAGUAGAGACGGGGUUUUGCCAUGUUGGCCAGGCUGGUCUCGAACUCCUGACCUCACAUGAUCUGCGCACCUAGGCCUCCCAAAGUGUUGGGAUUACAGGUGUGAGCCAUCGCACCCGGCCAGGCUUACCUCUUUGUACCUAUUUUGUUGAAGCUGAACUGAGGCCUGGGGUGCUUGCACUGUCUUGGGGCCCUGAAAAGUCCAAGGCACAGCAGUCGAUAAAUAGCAACUAAAUAAAUGAUGAUAAAUAUCUAAUCAAAGUUCGAUGAUAGAUAUCAAAUUAUAUUAAUAAAUAUCAAAUAACAUC
rnacentral:lncRNA from 10 species